CCUACUGGAGACAUCAUUGAGGCAUCUUGGUCAAUGGGCGCGAGCCUGAACCAGCCAAGUAGCGUGAAGUCUUCCUUCCCUCCUUUUUUUCCCCUUCUUUUCUCCCUUCCUCCAUUUAUUCACUUGUGCCUUUUUGUAUGUACUUUAUGAAUAAGGAUCUUCUAACUCCGUGCCAGCAUCCUCGGUAAUACGGAGGCUCCGGGCGUUAUCCGGAUUUAUUGGGUUUAAAGGGAGCGUAGAUGGGUUGUUAAGUCAGUUGUGAAAGUUUGCGGCUCAACCGUAAAAUUGCAAUUGAUACUGGCAGUCUUGAGUACAGUUGAGGUAGGCGGAAUUCGUGGUGUAGCGGUGAAAUGCUUAGAGAUCACGAAGAACUCCGAUUGCGAAGGCAGCUUACUAAACUGCCAAUGACAUUGAUGCUCGAAAGUGUGGGUAUCAAACAGGAUGAGAGAAAAAAGGAGUC
rnacentral:rRNA from 1 species